GCCAGGUGUGGUGGCUCACGCCUGUAAUCCAAGCACCUUGGAGGCCAAGGUGGGUGGAUCACCUGAGGUCGGGAGUUCAAGACCAGCCUGACCAACAUGGUGAAACCCUGUCUUUG
ensembl:misc_RNA Metazoa_SRP Metazoan signal recognition particle RNA